UACGUAGCUAACGCGUGAAGUCAGCCGCCUGGGGAGUACGGUCGCAAGAUUAAAACUCAAAGGAAUUGACGGGGACCCGCACAAGCGGUGGAUGAUGUGGAUUAAUUCGAUGCAACGCGAAAAACCUUACCUACCCUUGACAUGUCACUAACGAAGUAGAGAUACAUUAGGUGCCCGUAAGGGAAAGUGAACACAGGUGCUGCAUGGCUGUCGUCAGCUCGUGUCGUGAGAUGUUGGGUUAAGUCCCGCAACGAGCGCAACCCUUGUCUUUAGUUGCUACGCAAGAGCACUCUAAAGAGACUGCCGGUGACAAACCGGAGGAAGGUGGGGAUGACGUCAAGUCCUCAUGGCCCUUAUGGGUAGGGCUUCACACGUCAUACAAUGGUGCAUACAGAGGGUUGCCAACCCGCGAGGGGGAGCUAAUCUCAGAAAAUGCAUCGUAGUCCGGAUCGUAGUCUGCAACUCGACUACGUGAAGCUGGAAUCGCUAGUAAUCGCGGAUCAGAAUGUCGCGGUGAAUACGUUCCCGGGUCUUGUACACACCGCCCGUCAUACCAUGGGAGUGGGUUUUGCCAGAAGCCGUUAGCCUAACCGCAAGGAGGGCGACUGCCACGGCAGGGUUCAUGACUGGGGUAAAGUCGUAACAAGGUAGCCGUAUCGGAAGGUGC
rnacentral:rRNA from 1 species